UACGUAGGGUCCAAGCGUUAUCCGGAAUUAUUGGGCGUAAAGAGCGUGUAGGUGUUCUUACAAGUUGGUCGUUAAAUCUCAGAGCUCAACUCUGAGACCGCGAGCAAAAACUGUAAGAAUUGAGGUUUGCAGGGGCGAGCAGAAUUUCUGGAGUAGGGGUGAAAUCCGUUGAUACCAGAAGGAAUACCAAUGGCGAAGGCAGCUCGCUGGGCAACACCUGACACUGAGUACGCGAAAGCGUGGGGAGCAAACGGG
rnacentral:rRNA from 1 species